rnacentral:sRNA from 1 species
UUAAAAAGAGGAAAAGGAGAGAAUGUGAAGGAAUUCUGGGGAAAAUGCAAGAAAAAACAGAGACGGAAACCUAGCGGAAAAGACGGAAAUGAAGAAGAAGAAGAAGAGAAGGCGUGAGA